GUGCCUUUUCGACUACAAUUUCAUAUUCAUUUGGGCUUUCUUUGAUUAGACUUUGUUUUGGAUCCCUACCCUUUUUAUUUUCUUCUUGUUGAUUUAGACUCAUUUCUGUUAUCGUUUUGUAAUUUCUUCAUUUGGGUAUCUCAUAUUGCGUGGCUUACCCUUUUUUUGCUGUUUGUGUUGCCCUAUCUUUUGAUUUUUUUUCCCAAUUUAUUUCGGCUUAUCUCAUCUAUUGGAUUGUCUUCAACUUUUAUUUUUGAUGCUUUUUUUUCUUUUUUUGGUUUUUGUUAGUAUUCUUGAUUUAGGUUCAUUGGGUAUCCUCAUUGUUGGCUUUUUUUCUUAUUUUGUUAAAUUACUUCUUGUAUUUGACUCUUAACUGUUGUAAUAUUUUCUUUGUAAUGGGUUGCAUAUGCUGUCGUACUUGUUAGGAUGUCAUAUCUUUCCUAAUUGGCUUCUAAGUCUAAUUCCUAAUUAGUUUGUAGUGUAUUCACUGUAGUACUUGUGAAUUCUACUAGCUAAUAUAUUUGUACACUGUUUGCAUGAGAUGAGAUAGAACUUCAUUCUCUUCUUAACAAGAAUAUGCACAUGCAUGUAGAAGGCUAUUUUCAGGCUUAUUGUUAUGUUAUUAUAUGAUAUAAUGAGUGUUCUUCUAAAGGAUAAUGUUUAGUUUAACCAAAUAAUGAAAGUGACAUGAGCAAUUGCUUGGUAGUCUUCAUGGCAAAGAGUUAGGAAAUCUGAAGAGUCUCAGAAGUUGAGAUGUAGCCAUUUAGGAAGGCUCACAAUAUGUGACAAGACUGCAACUUUUGAAGCCUGGUCUGCUUUACCAUUCAUUAACAUUCAAAUUUUAAAUCUCAGAUCUUUCAAAUCUCUAAGAAAGCCUGUUUUUAUCUUACUUUCUCUGUUAGUUUGGGACUCUUUUCAGAGGGAGCAAGACUCAGGGAGGAUACAGUGCUCUUAAAAGCACCGGUUCUGAAAUAUUGGCUAAGAAUUAUAUGAAAUCCUUCUCUGGUAGAAUGCCAAUUGUGGGACAUAUCUAUAAAGAUUCAGACAAGGACCAGAUUUCACUUCUAACCUAGCUUUUGUGAACAUAAUACAAAUACGCUACAAAUACCCUUUUGGCUUGGUUAGGAAUCAUAAUUAACUCCUUGCCUAGAAGGUUUAAGAAUACAAUCUAGGCCAAAGGCCCAUUUUUUCCUUUCAACUUAUGGCCAAUAGAUAUGUUAGCUCCUGAGAAAAAUUUACUGUCAGGCAGGUCCUUCACUUUUCGAGUCAAAUUAAACCUGCACAUUUAAAUUUUUACCCAAUUUUGAUAACUUUCUAUCGUGUGAUGAAACAGACAUUUUCUUCUUGUCAUUCGCCUACGUCUUCUCAUCCUCAAUAGCAGAACAACAGUAGCUUAGCCUGGUUCAGCAACUGAAUACCAAUGAUGGCAGAAAGGGCUGUUGCUGGAGUGAAGGAGCACUCAGAAGGGUCCUCAAAUCAAUUACUUCUUAUUUCCUUGUCUCUUAGCCCGACAUUUGCCACCACCAUUAGAAUUAGAUCCAUUU
rnacentral:misc_RNA from 1 species